CAAUAGCGUAUAUUAAAGUUGUUGCAGUUAAAAAGCUCGUAGUUGGAUUUCAGGGGCCGCCUACAUGUCCUCCCGGGACUCCCGGGCUGCGUACAGCGUGGCGCGGUCCCUCACUUGCGGAGAGCGCGCGCGGGCUUAACUGUCCGGGCGCGGGAUCCGCAUCAUUUACUGUGAGAAAAAUAGAGUGUUUAAAGCGGGCGUUUCGCUUGAAUACAUUAGCAUGGAAUAAUUCUAUAGGACUUUGGUGCUAUUUUGUUGGUUUGCACACCAAGGUAAUGAUUAAUAGGGAUAGUUGGGGGUAUUCAUAUUUAAUUGUCAGAGGUGAAAUUCUUGGAUUUAUGAAAGAUGAACUUCUGCGAAAGCAUUUACCAAGGAUGUUUUCAUUAA
rnacentral:rRNA from 1 species